GGGGGGUAUCCGAAGUCACCGUGGUAACCGCAAGGAACUAAGCGCCGAAGAUAAACUCCGCGACUGGGGUGAAGUCGUAACAAGGUAGCCGUAGGUGAACCUGCAGAAGGAUCA
rnacentral:rRNA from 1 species